AAGCGAAAAUGAAGUAAACCCAAUUUUUUCAGAAAUAUAACCUAUUUGAAUUAGGGCAUUUUGGUCCAAAAAAUCUAUGGGUAUGAUUAUAAUUGAUGGGUUAUCAGAGGUAAAAUUUUCGAUUGAGAAUAGGAUUUUCUUACCUUCAAUCCAAAUGGACCGCUUAGUAUACGUCUCCCCUCACAUCCACCGUCUCCCUUUCAACUCCGCAAACCAACAGAAGCUCCGUCAUCAACAUUGUCCAAGGAGCAUCGUCGGAAACUUAGAACCGGCGAGAAGUCAUUGGGAACUUGAAAGCGGAAACGGCGACAUGAUCUAUUGGAACCGAAGUAAGUCGAGUGGCGGUUGGUCGGAUUUCUUGAAGGUAGAAUCGGAGAGAUCAAAGACGGUUGUGAAUUGUUACUGUUCAAGAACCGAUUUGGUGAUGAUUUCAAGAGUGAGGAAUGAAGACGAUUGAAAAGGUGAAUGGUUUGGACAUGUUGCCAUGAGUAUCAGGAAUGCUAUUUUCCUUGAAGUUACUAUUGCCAAGUUGAAGUAUAAGCAGACUUGGAAGUUUGGACAACUAAGGAGGAAGAUAUCCUGAUAAAUUGUUGUUGUCAAGAAGGAAGCGAACAAGCUUUGGUAAUCGCCAGAGUUCGGGUGGGACUUUCCCGCUAGUUGAAUUAUUGUUCAUGUGAAAGCGCUUUGUAUUGUUUAGGUUUGCAAAUGUUGUUGGUAGAGGUCCUGAUAUAUUAUUUUGAUCGAUUUGUAUUCUGUCAAGGUUCAGAAGAAAGCCAAGCUCAUCUGGAAGUGAAUCUGUUAACAUAUUUUCAUUUAAUAACAAGAGGACUAAAUAUUUGAUACUGCCAA